CCAUGUCUCAAAUUCUUCUCACGUUUUCUACCCAUUUCCAUCUCCAAUGUAAGGAGCAACACAACCCACAAAUCUCCAUGGUCUGAAGGAAACCCUUGGUUUCAGGGCAAGAUAUGUGGAGGAGCAUUUCCUGGGUCCUGAAUGGUGUCGGUUAAUCAGACAUGACAGUUAUUUAUUAAAAUGCUGCUACUCAGGAUAGCAAGUCCUGUAAGAAGUGCCAUCGUAGGUUUUUACCACUGCACGUGAGCUGAAUUUAGUCAUCAGUGAAAUGCAGCACGACAUGUCUUCUUUAUUCAGGGAAAAGGAGGAAAGCCUAAGAGAGAUUCUCUAAAGCCACCAAAUUCUAGAAUACUGCAAUCCACAAUUGCCAAAUUUAUGGCUAUCCACCUCUUCUAUGCUAUUUCUCCCUCCAUCAACUCCAGCACUCCUGCCAUAGGUUCGAAUUGCUGCACAUUCUCAGCACUAGCAGGAGAGAAAAAUAAUAAUCUCCUAGGAGCCAUUGUCAUUGCUGAGGACCAAGAACAACCAAAAAAGUGUCUGUGUAGGAAUAAUAAACUCAAAGAUAAGAAUCACAAGACAUCUCCGCAACCCAAAUUCUCACCAACUCAUCCAUCUAUUCCCAAGUCAGGGAAACAAGUGAAAAUCUGAAAAGCUCCCAGCUCAAGUUUAAGGACCGUCCUUCACCCUGGCUGAGCCAGUUCCCAGCUUCAAUGAACUUGAAGGAACCGUAUGUGAAGAUACAGUUCUCUGACCACAGUCUCCCCAAACAGUGGAAGAGCAGAACACACACCAGAAAGUGUCUUCACUAAACCGUCCAGUCCAAUUUCCAAGGGGUGGGGCCAAAGGUUUCCAGGUCAACACGGAAAAUAAAUCUACCCAGACUAUUUUUAGGCUCACACCACUUUCCAGGAUGCAAUAUCAGGGCCUAUUCACCUGCCCAAUCUACCUUCAUUCUGUGCACUUGAUGGUUGGAGUCACAAACUCUGAAUGCAUGUAGGACAAGAUAGCGUGACAUCUAACCUAACUCUACCCCCGCCCCCGCUCAAGGGUACUAGCCACACAGCAGAGGGAAAACUGCCCAGUACUGGGUCUGGAAUCAAGCUAUGAUGGGGUGGGGUUGCGGAAGGUGGGCUUGAAGAACCAUCCUGCUUUUUCCAGGAGUACCAACCUCAGGACUUUAUUUCUCUCAUGGCAGUUGCCAACCUGGCUCCAGUAGCCUUGCAGUUUAGAAGAUUGCACCCCUAAAUCAGAGAGAGGUGAACUGGCAGACCCAGUUGUUGGUGCCACUGUGACUUGUGUUUUUCUCUGUCCUUUUAGGUAUUUUAUGGGGAAGUCAAGAAAGGAUACAUCAGGAGCUGCUAGACAAAAGUCAUUAGUUAGCUUUAAACUGCCUGAUAUUGUCAUUUGAUACUAUUUGCCCAUUAAAUAUGUUUAUGCUGGUCAGGAACAUUAUACAUUGUGCUCACAUUAAUCUUUCUUCCCAAGAUCAAUGUUUUUCUUUAUUUUUUGGCAGCCUCUAGAGGGGAAAAAUCAAUAAAUAAACUGUUUUAAUUAAGUUUAAAAAAGAAAUGCCUCUUUAAGGAAAAACCUUAAUUGGUUAAUUUUUGUCUUUAGGACCUCACCUGAUGUUAUAAAGAGACUGCAGCUGAGAGAAAAAAGAUUCAUCAAAUGGGUACAAAUACUACUUACACUAGCCUUAGAAAGUAGAGGCUUAAGUGGGGAAUAUUGACUUCAAAUUUCAAUUUGUCCCCACUUAUUUUUCCCCAGCAGGUCCACAUCUUCAGUGUCCUUUGUACCUGUUAGUAGAUGUUCCGAUAACUAUCUAUGCCUUUACUUCUUUUGGAAGCAAAAGAAGAUUCAGUUGGAAUCCCAUCUUACUUCCACCGUCCAGAUCUAGACAGUCCUUUAAUGCCUAACUCCACCCUCUGAUUCUCCAGAGAACCUUCUCAGCUAAAUAUCACCAUGCUGUUAUUUCUCAUUUCUGCAAUAGUUAUUUAAUUUAUAUUAUUUCAUCUAUACCAUCUUAUAUUGCCUAUAUACACACGCACACAUUUUCCACCCAAGAAUAUGGAAUACUUUCUUGAAAAAGGACUGAAUCUUUGAUUUACUUCAUAUUCCUAAAAAUACUCCUUAAAACAAUGCAUUAUUUUUUUUCUGGAUUUGUAGAAUAAUGUGUUCAAAAUAAAUAGACUUU
rnacentral:lncRNA from 1 species